CGUUGGCAGAAAACAAACCGUCAUUGAGUCAUCCCUCUCAAUCUCAAUCGAAUCCUGGGGUGUAGGGUUUCGAAGCUGAACAAAAGUACAAUCGAGAGGUAAAGGGCGUGGCAUUGAUUCAAAUCUGAAAUCUCCGGCCAUGGCAGACAAUCAGUGGCGCCGUAAUGCUCUCCGGUCCCAUGCAGAGGGUGUCCGGUUCCAUAUGGAGGCUAUCCGGUCCUAUUUAAGGGCUUCCCGGACCGAGCCCGCUCACCACAAGGUGACCGAGGACCACAUCCUGGCGGCCAUUCUGCUCCCGUUCCCGGAGAACGAAACAACAACACCGGCAGUUUUGGACGAAGCCUGGAACGCCGAUGAUCCAAGCGAAGAUGACACGAGCGAGUGCUCAGAUGCUGACAUGGGCACGGGCGAACAUGAUCAUCCACUACAUGAACCACUAGUUCCAAGCGAACGAGGCCCAUUCACUGAAAAAUUCUCACCAGAAACUAACGGUAAUUAAUAUUUAUUUUUUUAUUUUGAAAAAGAUUAGUAUUAUUCUGUAUCUCCAUUGUUUUGUACAGUGGAAUGGUUGCAAGCUGCUUGGCCGAGGGUUCAAUUGGCUUUUGAGCGCUUUGGCUUUCAGGCCAAAAUGGAUCUGGACAAGAGUUGCGUAACAGCCGUCGCAAUUGGGGAUGAUCAUACUAAGUUCCCAUUUUCUGCAUCGCAUUUUGUUUAACUUUUGACAAAAACAAAUCUGCCACCUUCUUUGGUACUUCAAUUACCAUUUCUCAUCUGACUUGUUAGCCCGCGAGCCUUUUGUUUCAAUAGUUUUCUGAUACGUCAACCCAUGGUUCUGAUUUCGGGCAAUCGAAAUAGUGACUGGCCUUAGGUUACAUAUCCAUUACCAGAUUGGGUUUGGAUCCUCUUAUGGCUCCUUGGUGAACAAUGAGGAAUUUGAGAAGCGGCGCCAACUUCUCGUGGCCUCUCAAAAGCACAUUUACGAGCUGUCUCGCUGUACCAUUUAUGUUACAGAAUGCUCUUUCACUGCCGUGGGGGAUUAUAUUCAGCCUUUAAAGGCAGUCGAUGAACUUAUGUCACUCUGCUUGAACUCAGGUUACCAUCCUGCCUACAUCAUUAAGCACCUUGAACCCGGUUUAAAUGAUAAGUUUGGGCCUUUCCUUACUAAACUAUGGAACAACAAAUUUGACAACCCCGACAAGUGGUAGGACAUCUCCUGGUCUAAGUCCCUUCCUAUCUCUGAGGAUAUUGCAAAUAGCCUAGAUAUGUACAGGCCGCAGUUGGAAUCGUCUUUGGAAGAGCAAGGAAUAACCUGGACAGUAGACGUGGACAACAAAUCCACGACGGUUUCAGUAAUCGGUGGGGACCAACGUAUUAUUGACAAGGCUUCUCAAAUUCUUGAACUCAUGGCCAAGAGCACUGCGGACCAGGAAG